UUUCUCCUGCCACCUUGUGAAGAUGGUGCUUGCUUGCCUUUCACCUCCCACCAUGAUUAUUACUUCACCAAAGUACAGUUCCUACAGGAAGAUAAUGAUCUGACCUAACCUACUAUUGGCUGAAGGAAGGAGAAAAGCAGCUGAAGAUGUCUGUUGAGUGAUUACCCUCAUAAUCCGUGACUAAGAACAUCCAAAUCAGCAUGGCUUCUUCCUGUCUGAAAUUAUUACUACUUAGGGUUUUUCACGUGUUAUUUCAUUUAUUGAUUAUUCUGUUUUAAACUUGCAAGACGUAUUGUCUCUUCAGAAAUAAAACUUUAUCACUUGCUUCAUCA
rnacentral:lncRNA from 1 species